rnacentral:lncRNA from 1 species
GUAAAGAAAUGUUGCAGUGUUGAAGGCCAAGGUUGGCCUUUGGACCCAGGCGAGUACCUGGGGCUGCCUGGGUUACCCUCUCUGCAUUCUAUGUCAGUCCUGGGUGGGGCAUUGUUUAUUCCUCUGAAUUCUAUAAGGAGAAUCACAGGCAGGCAGAAUUCCUGAAGAGUAUCUCCAAGCCUCAGCCUUCUUCCCUCUAGUUUUGUUCAAAUAUCAAAACUAGUUUUGCUCAGAAGUCAUAGUAUGUUCCUUGACCCACAGAUCUGGUAGCUGGAUUCUUGCAUUGCUUCCCUAUUCUGCUAAAUUACCUGGCAGUGCAGUUCCCGCUAAGAAAAGGUCCUCAAACUCAGCCCAGGGGCUAGGAACCCUUUAUCCACCAAUGGACUAGCUUAAUUCUAUUUGACUGUAUCUCUAGGUCCCAGUUGCUUUGCUCCAUUUGUCCCUGAGCAUGGACUAAGGCAUGGAUCAGUUCUUUGCUCUUUGAAACGAGAUGAUCCAUCUCACACUGAAAGUUUCCUAUCGUGAGGUUCAGUGUCAUCUAGAGUCAACGGAUGAAGUAUAAGUGUUCACUGUGGAAUUUCUACAACACAAAAAGAAGAGGCUGGAUAAAGAAG